GGCCGUCUGGCGAAAUGGUAUCGCGUCACUUUCCGGUAUUCCGUGGAAUAUGGUGAAGAUUGUGGGUUCGAGUCCCACGGUGGUCG